CGUGACAUCAUCACAGGUCCUUCACUUCCUCCUGCAGCACAGAGGAGGACACGCUCCGUCCAGGUUUCUACAAUAUAGAAUCUCACUGGAUAUAUUGUUGACCCGUCAAGGAUGGAUAGGGACAGGGACAAGAUGGCGGAGAGUAUAAUAAAUCUCACCCUAGAGAUCCUUUUCCGGCUUACUGGAGAGGACUACACAGUAGUGAAGAAGACCUCUAGUGGGCGCUGUCAGGACCCUGUGUCUGAA